AAAACGGGACGGCCCGCCGCAGGAAACCCUAAACUCUGUUUUUAGUGGAACUUCUGAGUAUAAAAAACAAAUAAAUCAAAACUUUCAACAACGGAUCUCUUGGUUCUGGCAUCGAUGAAGAACGCAGCAAAAUGCGAUAAGUAAUGUGAAUUGCAGAAUUCAGUGAAUCAUCGAAUCUUUGAACGCACAUUGCGCCCGCCAGUAUUCUGGCGGGCAUGCCUGUUCGAGCGUCAUUUCAACCCUCAAGCCCAGCUUGGUGUUGGGAUCUGUCCUUACCGACAGUCCCCAAAUUGAUUGGCGGUCACGUCGAGCUUCCAUAGCGUAGUAAUUUACACAUCGUUACUGGUAAUCGUCGCGGCCACGCCGUUAAACCCCAACUUCUGAAUGUUGACCUCGGAUCAGGUAGGAAUACCCGCUGAACUUAAGCAUAUCAAUAAGCGGAGGA
rnacentral:rRNA from 1 species